rnacentral:lncRNA from 1 species
AGCCAGCGGGGAAAGAGGAGGAGAGGAGAGGAGAAGAGAUGUAAAGAGAAAAGAGGAGAGAAGAGAGGUAAAAAGAGUGGAGGAAAGAGAACAGAGCUGAAGAGAGUAGAAGCAAGACAAGAAGAAAAUAGGAGAAGAGGUCACCCCAGUUAAUAUCCUAUUUACAGCGGGCAUCUGUCAGCCUCCCUUUAUGGGUCAUGCCCCUCUCCCAAACUGAGACGCACCGCGCUGCUCCUCUACCCAUCAGCCCAUACAAAUGCUGACCCAACGACCCUGCUGAGGACACACUCUGACCUGGCCACAGCUGGAUCCGCCAGAAGUUCCCUUCUUCAUCAGAAAGAACUCCUCUGCAAGUAAGUCCUUCAGGUCAUAGAGAACUGCAGUCAACGAGUUCAUCAACAAUUCUCACAGAUUGUGGGCGUGGUUAAACCCUGUCGCGCUCCACAGAGAAAGCAGGAAUGAUAUUGGUACCGCUAUGGAGUGACUGUGUCGGAUGCAUAUGUUUUUUAAAGUUGAG